AAUCAGCGGUGAAGCACGAGCCAGAAGACACAAGAGGAAGCUACAGUAUGUGGAAGAGCUUGUGGAACAGGGAACAGGAGACUCUUCCUGGGACGAGCUGCCCAGCCAGGGUGCAGCUGACAGCCUGGCUUCCUUCAAGAAGUGGCGGGAUGCGAUUCUGAGAUCAAUCAGCGACUAACGAUCAAAUGGGCUGGCUGGGCUGAACAGAACUGCGCCAAUCGGCUUGAGCUGUUUCCUGACAGAAGGGGGCACUGGGAGAGAGGAGCUGUCCUGUCCUGACCUGUCCUGCGGAAGAGAGAGCCGGAGGCUCCUUGGGAAGCACAGCUACUGUCCAGUUCGUGCACCACGCUGGAAGGAUAAAGGGCACCUUUGCGAAUGCUGACCCCUGUCCACCUCGCUGGGCAGUGAGGACAGAGGCCCGUCGGGCUGCAGAAACCCUGUCUGCUCGUGGCUCAGAACCGGACUAAAUGUAGAACAGAGGCACAGGCAAACUCCUGGCUGGGAUGCUGGUGGGCUCGGACAAUCUGCCUGCUCCAGCGGUGCAGUGGACGUCAGAAGAAAUUCACAGCCGGACCUCCGUCAGCACAGACAUCUGAUGGAAAUAAAAUCUCAAUACAACGCCAAA